UAAGAGAGAGCACGUCAGACUGAAAGAGAGCGCAGUUUGACAGUCACACAGAGGGAGAUAUAGUCGAUUAAACUGUUAAGGAAAGAACAUUUCCAGUUUAAUAUUGACUUGUGAAUCUGUGGUGACAGUCGUGUGGUAGUGUGGAGUCUAUGGUUGAUUUGGUUGCUUAUACGAGUGUGGUGUUCCUGCACGUGAGAGAUCUUCCGUGGGGGAAGGGAAUUCAGAGACGUCGAGGAAGAUUGAGCAGGGGAGAACAGCCACACGUGAUAUUGCACGUGCUCCAGCUACUACAUGAGCUUUUUCUGUGUGCUUCAAAGUCUCAAUAAGAGUGAGUUUGAUAAUUUUCUUCUCCUAAAGUGUUUAUGUAUAAUUUAUAAGAAUAUGUGUACUUUUGUUCAAAUGUAUACUAUUUUCUUACUGUUUGAUUUCAAUAGAAGGGUUCAAACUGUGGAUUGUAAUGUAUUCAUGAGGUGAAAUGUGCAGAUUUCUCAUCUAUGCUGUUUUAUUUCUUUAUUUAGGCACAUACAGGCCACUACCGUUGUUUUUGGCACUCAUUUUAUUUGUUUUUUCGAGAUUAUCAAUGUAAAAAAACAUCUUUUCUAGCUGUUUUGUAAGGAUCUUAUUAAUUUGUUUUCUGCACUCAUUAGAGUCAGUUUUGACAGUUAAUUUUGUUUUGCCAAUUUCACUUUUUGGAAUGUUUUUAUAAAACUGCUUUUCUCCUGAACAAAAAUAUACAUUAAUGCUGUGUCUCUUUUGAGGCUCAGUCAGGAAUUAAAGAACCCCUUUUUUUCUUUA